rnacentral:rRNA from 1 species
UACGAAGGUGGCAAGCGUUACUCGGAUUUACUAGGCGUAAAGGGCAGGUAGGUGGUUUGAUAAGUCUGUUGUGUAAGCUCCCGGCUUAACUGGGAGAGGUCAACAGAAACUGUCAGGCUUGAGUAUGGGAGAGGGUACUGGAAUUCCCGGUGUAGCGGUGAAAUGCGCAGAUAUCGGGAGGAACACCAAUGGCGAAAGCAGGUACCUGGACCAUUACUGACACUCAGCUGCGAAAGCUAGGGGAGCAAACAGG